rnacentral:rRNA from 1 species
UACGGGGGGGGCAAGCGUUGUUCGGAAUUACUGGGCGUAAAGGGUGCGUAGGCGGCUUUCUAAGUUGGAUGUGAAAACUCUGGGCUUAACCCAGAGCCUGCAUCCAAAACUGGAAGGCUAGGGUUCUGGAGGGGAAAGCGGAAUUCCUGGUGUAGCGGUGAAAUGCGUAGAUAUCAGGAGGAACACCGGUGGCGAAGGCGGCUUUCUGGACAGAUACCGACGCUGAGGCACGAAAGCUAGGGGAGCAAACAGG